GAGGAGAUGUUUCCGUCGGACGGAGAUGGAAAUAAAAUCAGAAGACGUUACGCGAUCAGCGCGAUUCCGGGGUUCAAAUGGAGAGAAGGAGAUGUUGCGACAUUUUCUGGAGAUCGGGGUUCAAUCAGAGAAGAGUAUAUGCUGAGGCAUGUUCUGGGGUUCAAAUGGAGAAAAGAAAUGCUGAGGCAUGUUCUGGGGUUCAAACGGAGAAAAGGAGAUACUGAGGUAUUUUUUGGGGUUCAAAUGGAGAUUGGAGUUGAAGAUUAUAUCCAGG
rnacentral:lncRNA from 1 species